CAAAAGGCUCCUCACGCCACACCGCUUCGCAUUCACAAUCGGUUUCUUCACACAUGCCACAACGAUUCUUCUCUUCCCACAAAGAUUCGUUACUCAACCCUCUGUACCUUCUUUGUUCUAUUUAUGUUUUUACGGGAAAGGAAAAAUCCCCUUUAUCUACUAACCUCUACACAUUUUUCCCUCGCCACAUUUUUUGUCACCAAAUGCUACCUUCACGCCAACGAUGUCUAUGGGAAAAAACUAUUUCUCGCCAACGGUGUGGACAACCAAGGAUUGGGCUGCCAAAAAUGUCGUAAAGAGAUUGAGGAUUCCUAAUAUAUCUUGCACAUCAAAUUUCUGUGAAUAAUUGUCAAGGAUUCCUAAUAUAUCUUGCACAUCAAAUUUCUAUGAAUAAUUAUCAAGGUAAAUUUUUAUGCUACAUUUAACAUUUUUUUUAGUUUUCCCCAAUUAACAUUACAUUUAUCACUGUAACUGGUACAAUUAAAGAACUUGAAAUCUCCAUAGAUUUUAUGUUACGGAUUGAAUAUUUGAAAAAUAAAAAGCACAACUAAGAGCCAAAAUAUUUUGAAGGAGUUUUACCUGAUAAUUAAUUCAAAGUUUGACUUCAAAUAUAUUUGUGUACGUAAAGAUAGUAUAUACAUUAUUGCAUUUAUGACUUUUGAAUUACAUUGUUGCAGAUAAAUAGUUUAUAAUGCCAUCUUCCAAACUUAUCAUUAGGCCAUCAUCUCCCGAAAUAAAUUUAUUCCACCUACAAUAUGUGUCUUCAAGGUUUAAGUGAGAAGAUUUUCAGACUAUCAUAGGUACAAAUUGAAUAUCCUUCUCUAAGACAAACAUUUGAAGUUAGUAUAUGCGUUAUUGCAUUUACGACUUUUGAGUUACAUUGUUGCAGAUAGAUACUUUAUAAUACCAUCAUCCAGAUUCAUCAUUAGGCUAUCAUCUCCCAGAAUAAAUUUAUUCCACCUACAAUAUGCGUCUUCAAGGUUAACUUUCAAGAUUUUCAGACUAUCGUAGGUGCAAAUUGGAUAUCCUUCGCUAAGACAAAUAUUUGAAGAUAAUAUAUACGUUAUUGCAUUUAUGACUUUUGAGUUACAUUUUUGCAGAUAAAUAGUUUAUAAUGCCAUAUUCCAGACUCAUCAUUAGGCCAUCAUCUCCUGGAAUAAAUUUAUUCCACCUACAAUAUGUGUUUUCAAGGUUUAAGUGAGAAGAUUUUCAGACUAUCGUAGGUGCAAAUUGGAUAUCCUUCUCUAAGGCAAAUAUUUGAAGAUAGUAUAUACGUUAUUGCAUUUAUGACUUUUGAGUUACAUUGUUGCAGAUAAAUAGUUUAUAAUGCCAUCUUCCAGACUCAUCAUUAGGCCAUCAUCUCCCGGAAUAAAUUUAUUCCACCUACAAUAUGUGUCUUCAAGGUUAACUGAGAAGAUUUUCAGACUAUCGUAGGUCCAAAUUGGAUAUCCUUCUCUAAGGCAAAUAUUUGAAAAUAUGCCGACAUUGUUACCAACAUCCAGAGACGGCCUAAAUCCGAUCAGUAAAUAUGAUAUCAUGACGGAGUAAGGAACUUUACUAAGCAAAUAGAGAGUGACUUACUCUUGCAACAACUUUAUUCUGCUUGCAAUUGUUUGGUUAUCUUUAUGUCAAGGGCUAUAUAUGGAUUGAAAACAAUAACUACACUAAGGUAUAUAUGGUUUAUAUUCUUUUAUUGCAUUAUUUUCUGGAUGCAGAAAGAUCUUUUCUACUUUUGAUUUUGGGUUCCCGAUGUGCGAUAUACAUAAUACAGUAAACUAUCUCUUUUUCUGUAUACAUGGAUUUUCUAGCUUUUCACGCUACAAAGUCCAUAGUUUGAUGGUU